GUUCCUGUAGCUCAGUUGGUUAGAGCAGUCGCCUGUUAAGCGAAAGGUCGUAGGUUCAAGUCCUACUUGGAACG
rnacentral:tRNA from 1 species